rnacentral:rRNA from 1 species
UACGGGAGGCAGCAGUGGGGAAUAUUGCACAAUGGGCGCAAGCCUGAUGCAGCCAUGCCGCGUGUAUGAAGAAGGCCUUCGGGUUGUAAAGUACUUUCAGUCGUGAGGAAGGUGUUAAGGUUAAUAACCUUAGCAAUUGACGUUAGCGACAGAAGAAGCACCGGCUAACUCCGUGCCAGCAGCCGCGGUAAUACGGAGGGUGCGAGCGUUAAUCGGAAUUACUGGGCGUAAAGGGCACGCAGGCGGUUAAUUAAGUUGGAUGUGAAAUCCCCGGGCUUAACCUGGGAAUGGCAUUCAAGACUGGUUAGCUAGAGUCUUGUAGAGGGGGUAGAAUUCCAUGUGUAGCGGUGAAAUGCGUAGAGAUGUGGAGGAAUACCGGUGGCGAAGGCGGCCCCGUGGACAAAGGACUGACGCUCAUGUGCGAAAGCGUGGGGAGCAAACGAGGGAUUAGAUA